rnacentral:rRNA from 1 species
GAGUUUGAUCCUGGCUCAGGAUGAACGCUGGCGGCGUGCUUAACACAUGCAAGUCGAACGGGAAACCUUUUAUUGAAGCUUCGGCAGAUUUAGAUUGUUUCUAGUGGCGGACGGGUGAGUAACGCGUGAGUAACCUGCCCUAGAGUGGGGGACAACAGUUGGAAACGACUGCUAAUACCGCAUAAGCCCACGGUGCCGCAUGGCACAGAGGGAAAAGGAGCAAUCCGCUUUGAGAUGGCCUCGCGUCCGAUUAGCUAGUUGGUGAGGUAACGGCUCACCAAGGCGAUGACGGGUAGCCGGUCUGAGAGGAUGUCCGGCCACACUGGAACUGAGACACGGUCCAGACUCCUACGGGAGGCAGCAGUGGGGAAUAUUGGGCAAUGGGCGCAAGCCUGACCCAGCAACGCCGCGUGAGCGAAGAAGUAUUUCGGUAUGUAAAGCUCUAUCAGCAGGGAAGAUAAUGACGGUACCUGACUAAGAAGCACCGGCUAAAUACGUGCCAGCCGCCGCGGUAAUUC